GAGAGAGAGAGAGAGAGAGGGAGCGCAUGUGAGGAAGGGAGGGGGUUUGGAGUCAGAGUGAAUGCAGCUUGCACUGCUGUGCUUUGGAAUUACAGCUAUGAACAUUGUCUGGGACUUGAAAAAGAAAGGAAAGCAAAGGAGAAAAGGACAGAGGGUGGAAGAGAAACAUUACAGAGCCUCUUGAUGCUCGACGCUGAAGAGAGUGUGUGAGAAGGAAAAGAGGAGGCGCACCAGAGGAGCUUCACACGAUCCUCUCAUCUUCAGUUCCUGAGCAGAUUGGCCUGUUGUCCCUCAUCACUGGGGUCGUCAUUGGAACUGCGUCUCACCGUGUGUAUCUACAGUGUGCAGUGCUCCAAACCGGCUCUGCUCAGAAUGGCUCCACAGAGCAGGGAUUGUGUUAACCUGAGGAGGACCACUCUCACACAGGGGUUUUAAGCAACGCAAGGCCACAAGACUCUGAUGAGGAAGUUCUCUCUGGUGUCAUCUGUGGCUCUGUUUGCUUCCACGGACGUCGGAGCAGCCAUAACUCGACCUGCCUCCAUCCAAGAGGUGCUAUUCCUAGAAGAGAGGGAGUGUGUGGCGUGCCAAAGCUCAUUCCUGAACUCCUGAAGGGAGGAGCCGUGGGAAUUGGAGGGAUAGCUGGAUUGAUGAGGGUGCUGGAGAACAGAGCGUGAGCGCUGGGCUCCAUAAUCAGUUCAUCCUCCCAGACACUUGAGCUCUGGAGGAUUUUUGCUCUGAGACUUUAUAUACCUUUCACUAUAAGUUUUGAAUAUAUUCUAAUUUCUUUGCUCAAGUCGAUGCUCCCCUUCAUCAAAUGUGGCAGGUGGGCCUGAGGAACGCUUCUCUGUGAAACUAAAAGUAACAGCGUGUAAGGUAGAGUGAGGUGGCAAAGGAAAGCAGGGUAAAAUUGCUGACUGGUCCUGGAACGUUUGAGUUGGAGUGCGUCUAUGCAAGACUUAAGGCCUUUGUAGCAAUGGAUGAGAGUUUGUGCCGAGGAAUGACAGAAAGUGGCAGCUAGACGGCAAUGCAUAACCGAAACCUCUAUGUGUGCACAGGAGAGUGCGUUUGUGUGCGGAUGAGCACGCAGGAGCAUGUGAUUGUCUCUUGGAGUGCAGAAUUCUGAGAAUUGGCCAUUAUUGCCGCUCCCUCCUAUUUUUGUGCUGGAGCCGGGAGGGUCAACAUUAACAGCGAGAGAGAGAGAGAGAGAGAGAGAGAGAGAGAGAGAGAGAGAGAGAGAGAGGAACAGAUACAGAAACAAAUAAAUAAAUAAAAGAGACAAUUCAGUUUUCUGUCACCAUUUUGGUGCCCAUUGG